rnacentral:rRNA from 1 species
UACGGAGGGAGCUAGCGUUGUUCGGAAUUACUGGGCGUAAAGCGCACGUAGGCGGCUUUGUAAGUUAGAGGUGAAAGCCCGGAGCUCAACUCCGGAAUUGCCUUUAAGACUGCAUCGCUUGAAUCCGGGAGAGGUGAGUGGAAUUCCGAGUGUAGAGGUGAAAUUCGUAGAUAUUCGGAAGAACACCAGUGGCGAAGGCGGCUCACUGGCCCGGUACUGACGCUGAGGCACGAAAGCGUGGGGAGCAAACAGG